rnacentral:rRNA from 1 species
AACGAACGCUGGCGGCGUGCCUAACACAUGCAAGUCGAACGAGUAAUCGGGCACUCAGGCAACUGAGUGCCGGAGAGUAAAGUGGCGCACGGGUGAGUAACACGUGGGUAACCUACCCCAGAAUCCGGGAUAACCUCGCGAAAGCGUUGCUAAUACCGGAUAUUGUCCUAAUGGUUGUGACCUUUGGGAUGAAAGGCAACCUCUUCAUGAAAGUUGCCGUUCAGGGAUGGGCCCGCGCACCAUUAGCUUGUUGGUGGGGUAACGGCUCACCAAGGCUACGAUGGUUAGCUGGUCUGAGAGGAUGAUCAGCCACACUGGAACUGAAACACGGUCCAGACUCCUACGGGAGGCAGCAGUGAGGAAUUUUGCGCAAUGGGGGAAACCCUGACGCAGCGACGCCGCGUGAGUGAAGAAGGCUUUCGGGUCGUAAAGCUCUGUCAAGUGGGAAAAAAGUCUGAUGAUUAAUAGUUGUCAGAUCUGAUGGUACCACUGGAGGAAGCACCGGCUAACUCCGUGCCAGCAGCCGCGGUAAUACAGAGGGUGCAAGCGUUGUUCGGAAUUACUGGGCGUAAAGGGCGUGCAGGCGGGUUGGUAAGUCAGAUGUGAAAGCCCUGGGCUCAACCCAGGAAGUGCAUUUGAAACUGCCAUCCUUGAGUAUGGGAGAGGAGAGUGGAAUUCCCAAUGUAGAGGUGAAAUUCGUAGAUAUUGGGAGGAACACCCGUGGCGAAGGCGACCCUCUGGACCAAUACUGACGCUGAGACGCGAAAGCGUGGGGAGCAAACAGGAUUAGAUACCCUGGUAGUCCACGCUGUAAACGAUGAGAACUAGGUGUAGCGGGUAUUGACCCCUGCUGUGCCGAAGUUAACGCAUUAAGUUCUCCGCCUGGGGAGUACGGCCGCAAGGCUA